rnacentral:rRNA from 1 species
CAGGCCUAACACAUGCAAGUCGAACGAGGUAGCAAUACCUAGUGGCGGACGGGUGAGGAAUACGUAGGGAUCCGCCCUUAAGUGGGGGAUAACCCGGGGAAACCCGGAUUAAUACCGCAUGAUCUCGCAAGAGCAAAGUGGGGGAUCGCAAGACCUCACGCUUUUAGAGGAACCUACGUCGGAUUAGCUUGUUGGUGAGGUAAUGGCUCACCAAGGCGACGAUCCGUAACUGGUCUGAGAGGAUGAUCAGUCACACCGGAACUGAGACACGGUCCGGACUCCUACGGGAGGCAGCAGUGGGGAAUAUUGGACAAUGGGCGAAAGCCUGAUCCAGCAAUACCGCGUGUGUGAAGAAGGCCUUCGGGUUGUAAAGCACUUUAAGUUGGGAAGAAAAAACUUCGUCUAAUACAUGAAGUCUUGACGGUACCGACAGAAUAAGCACCGGCUAACUACGUGCCAGCAGCCGCGGUAAUACGUAGGGUGCGAGCGUUAAUCGGAAUUACUGGGCGUAAAGCGUGCGUAGGCGGUUUGAUAAGUCGGUUGUGAAAGCCCCGGGCUCAACCUGGGAAUUGCGGCCGAUACUGUCAGACUAGAAAACGGUAGAGGGAGGCGGAACUCCAGGUGUAGCGGUGAAAUGCGUAGAUAUCUGGAAGAACACCGAUGGCGAAGGCAACCUCCUGGGCCUGUUUUGACGCUGAGGCACGAAAGCGUGGGUAGCAAACAGGAUUAGAUACCCUGGUAGUCCACGCCGUAAACGAUGAGAACUUGACGUUGGUUUGCUUAGCAAAUCGGUGUCGUAGCUAACGCGAUAAGUUCUCCGCCUGGGGAGUACGGCCGCAAGGUUGAAACUCAAAGGAAUUGACGGGGGCCCGCACAAGCGGUGGAGUAUGUGGUUUAAUUCGAUGCAACGCGAAGAACCUUACCUGGUCUUGACAUGUCAAGAAGUCUGCAGAGAUGCGGAUGUGCCUUCGGGAACUUGAACACAGGUGCUGCAUGGCUGUCGUCAGCUCGUGUCGUGAGAUGUUGGGUUAAGUCCCGCAACGAGCGCAACCCUUGCCCUUAGUUGCCAUCAUUCAGUUGGGCACUCUAAGGGGACCGCCGGUGACAAACCGGAGGAAGGUGGGAUGACGUCAAGUCAUCAUGGCCCUUAUGACCAGGGCUACACACGUACUACAAUGGUCGGUACAGAGGGUUGCCAACCCGCGAGGGGGAGCUAAUCCCAUAAAACCAGUCGUAGUCCGGAUCGCAGUCUGCAACUCGACUGCGUGAAGUCGGAAUCGCUAGUAAUCGCGGAUCAGAAUGUCGCGGUGAAUACGUUCCCGGGUCUUGUACACACCGCCCGU